rnacentral:ncRNA from 1 species
AUGCCCGGCCUGCCCUAUGGUGAGACGUGCAUCCUCACGGGUAGGAAGCCGGUGAAAUUCCGGAACGGUCGCGCCACUGUAAUCGUGGGUCGCUCCAAGCGUCCACCGAAAGUCAGACCCACCUCGUGAUCAGAGCACAC